UACAGAGGGGGCAAGCGUUGUUCGGAAUUACUGGGCGUAAAGGGCGCGUAGGCGGCCUGUUAAGUCGAACGUGAAAUCCCCGGGCUCAACCCGGGAACUGCGUCCGAUACUGGCAGGCUUGAAUCCGGGAGAGGGAUGCGGAAUUCCAGGUGUAGCGGUGAAAUGCGUAGAUAUCGGAAGGAACAUCAGUGGCGAAAGCGGCUGCCUGGCCAAAUACUGACGCUCAUGUGCGAAAGCGUGGGGAGCAAACAGG
rnacentral:rRNA from 1 species